rnacentral:rRNA from 1 species
AGACCCGAAACCCGGUGAUCUAGCCAUGGGCAGGUUGAAGGUUGGGUAACACUAACUGGAGGACCGAACCGACUAAUGUUGAAAAAUUAGCGGAUGACCUGUGGCUGGGGGUGAAAGGCCAAUCAAACCGGGAGAUAGCUGGUUCUCCCCGAAAGCUAUUUAGGUAGCGCCUCGUGAAUUCAUCUCCGGGGGUAGAGCACUGUUUCGGCUAGGGGGCCAUCCCGGCUUACCAACCCGAUGCAAACUGCGAAUACCGGAGAAUGUUAUCACGGGAGACACACGGCGGGUGCUAACGUCCGUCGUGAAGAGGGAAACAACCCAGACCGCCAGCUAAGGUCCCAAAGUCAUGGUUAAGUGGGAAACGAUGUGGGAAGGCCCAGACAGCCAGGAUGUUGGCUUAGAAGCAGCCAUCAUUUAAAGAAAGCGUAAUAGCUCACUGGUCGAGUCGGCCUGCGCGGAAGAUGUAACGGGGCUAAACCAUGCACCGAAGCUGCGGCAGCGACGCUGAUGCGUUGUUGGGUAGGGGAGCGUUCUGUAAGCCGUUGAAGGUGGCCUGUGAGGGUUGCUGGAGGUAUCAGAAGUGCGAAUGCUGACAUAAGUAACGAUAAAGCGGGUGAAAAGCCCGCUCGCCGGAAGACCAAGGGUUCCUGUCCAACGUUAAUCGGGGCAGGGUGAGUCGACCCCUAAGGCGAGGCCGAAAGGCGUAGUCGAUGGGAAACGGGUUAAUAUUCCCGUACUUGGUGUUACUGCGAAGGGGGGACGGAGAAGGCUAUGUUGGCCGGGCGACGGUUGUCCCGGUUUAAGCGUGUAGGUGUGUGUUCCAGGUAAAUCCGGUUCACUUUAACACUGAGGCGUGACGACGAGGCACUACGGUGCUGAAGCAACAAAUGCCCUGCUUCCAGGAAAAGCCUCUAAGCAUCAGGUAACAU